rnacentral:rRNA from 1 species
AUGAGGGCCGGGGGGUGCACGGUGCAGCAGGCGCUCACGGCGGAGGCGGCGGGGGUUGUGAAGCAGGCUGUGAGCCUGGCGCGCCGGAGGGGGAACGCGCAGGUCACGCCGCUGCACGUGGCCAGCGCGAUGCUGGCGGCGCCGGCGGGGCUCCUGCGCGCGGCGUGCCUCCGGUCGCACUCGCACCCGCUGCAGUGCAAGGCGCUGGAGCUGUGCUUCAACGUCGCCCUCAACCGACUGCCGGCCUCCGCCGCGGUCGCCUCCUCGCCGCUGCUCGGCGGCCACGGCCACCACCACUACUACCCGCCGUCGCUCUCCAACGCGCUCGUCGCGGCCUUCAAGCGCGCGCAGGCGCACCAGCGGCGCGGGUCCGUCGAUAGCCAGCAGCAGCCGGUGCUCGCCGUCAAGAUCGAGCUCGAGCAGCUCGUCGUCUCCAUCCUCGACGACCCCAGCGUCAGCCGCGUCAUGCGCGAGGCCGGCUUCUCCAGCACGCAGAUCAAGGCCAACGUCGAGCAGACCGUGUGCAGCACCACCACCACGGCGGCCACCAACACCAAUCCCCACCAAAACCCUAACCCUAGCAGCACGACCACCACAAGCAAGCAUCAAGAAACCUCCAAGGCCAAGCUCCCACUCGGCCAGGCGCGCGACGAGGAUGCUGCCGCCGUGCUCCACUGCUUGGCCGGCCGGAGCAAGACGAGGGUCGUGGUCGUCGCUGAGAACACUGCCGCGGCGGAGGCCACGGUGCGCGCGGCCAUGGACAAGGUCAAGAGAGGCGACGCCAAGCACGACGCCCUACGGAGCGCGCAGGUGGUCAGCCUCCGCGUGUCUUCGUUCCGGGAGAUGCCGAGGGAGGAGGCAGAGAGGCGGCUGGGCGAGCUGCGGUGCCUCAUCAAGAGCCGGGGGCAUGUCCUGCUGGUGGUGGAGGACCUCAAGUGGGCGGCCGAGUUCUGGAGCGGCCACGUCCAAGGAGGCCGGAGAGGGUACUACUGCCCCGUGGAGCACGUGGUGACCGAGGUGCGCGCCCUGGUGUGCGCGGCCGGCGGUGAGCACGGGCUCUGGCUCGUCGGGUUCGGGAGCUACCAGACGUACACGAAGUGCAGGGCGGGGCAGCCGUCGCUGGAGAACCUGUGGGGGCUCCAGACGCUCACCGUCCCCGCCGGCAGCCUCGCGCUGAGCCUCACCUGCGCCUUGGACGACAGUGCACUGGGCGCAGUCAAUCAGUCCAUGAAAGCGAGCUCCGACAUGGAUGGGAACGGACCGGUGCCCCGCUGGCCGCUUUUGGGCGGCGCCCAGCUGAACUCUAGAUGCUGCGGCGAUUGCUCCGGCGUCAGGAUUGACACCAAAGCCGCAUUGCCGCCCUCCUUCGUGUCCUCGUCCACCAUCCCAUCCUGGCUCCAGCAUUGCCGCGAUCAGGAGCCUACGCAUGUCAUGGAUCUCAGCAGGAACUGGAGCUCCAUCUGCAGCAAACCAUCUCAGCGGAUGACGCUGCACUUCUCGGCACCCGUGUCUCCGGCCUCCUCCAUCUCCUCCUAUGAGCAUGGCCACCAGCCUCGCCAGUCAUGGCUUCUCGCCGAUCUCGACGGCAAGCAUCCAUGGAAACCCAAGUGCGAGGCCGACGAGAAGGUCUCGUCGCACGAUUCCGGCGCUUCCAACGGCUCCGUGGAGGUGGAGUGCCGUUCCAGGUUCAAGGAGCUCAACGCCGAGAACCUCAAGCUUCUUUGCGCCGCAUUGGAGAAGGAGGUGCCGUGGCAGAAGGAGAUCGUCCCUGAGAUCGCGAGCACCGUCCUUCAGUGCCGGUCAGGGAUCGCCAAGAGGCGCGACAAGUCGAGGUCGACGGAUGCCAAGGAGGAGACGUGGAUGUUCUUCCUCGGAGGCGACGCCGACGGCAAGGAGAGGGUGGCCAGUGAGCUCGCCAACCUCGUCUUCGGCUCGCGCAAGAACUUCGUGUCCAUCAAACUCGGCGCCUCAUCGACGUCCGCAUCCUGCUCCACCGAGGAGCACAGGAGCAAGCGGCCCCGGACGUCGGCGGCGACCGAGGGCGAGGCCUACCUAGAGCGGCUCUACGACGCCGUCUCCGAGAAUCCGCACCGUGUCAUUCUCAUGGAGGAUUUCGAGCAGGCCGAUCAGUACUGCCAGGUCGGCAUCAAGGAAGCCAUCGACAGCGGGGUGAUACGGAGUCAAACCGGCGACGAGGUCGGCGUGAGCGACACCAUCGUCAUCCUUUGCUGCGAGAGCUUCGACUCCAAGUCUAGAGCUUGCUCGCCGCCAACCAAGCAGAUGAACCCGGAGACCAAGGAGGAGCACACGGUUGAUCAUGAUCACAAAGAAGCUGAGACCUCCUCGUCUUGCUUUGAUUUGAACAUCAACAUAGAGAGUGAGCAUGCGGAUGAGCAUGAUGUCUGCCUGCUCACGGCGGUCGACCGGACGCUGUUUUUCAGAAGACGGGAGGACUUGUGA